rnacentral:rRNA from 1 species
AACGAACGCUGGCGGUAUGCUUAACACAUGCAAGUCGAACGAACAAAAUUGGGGCUUGCUCCAAUUUUAGUGAGUGGCAAACGGGUGAGUAACACGUGGGAAUCUACCUAUCAGUACGGAAUAACAUUUGGAAACAGAUGCUAAUACCGUAUAUUCUCCAAGGAGGAAAGAUUUAUCGCUGAUAGAUGAGCCCGCGCAAGAUUAGGUAGUUGGUAGGGUAAUGGCCUACCAAGCCUACGAUCUUUAGCUGGUCUGAGAGGAUGAUCAGCCACACUGGGACUGAGACACGGCCCAGACUCCUACGGGAGGCAGCAGUGGGGAAUAUUGGACAAUGGGCGAAAGCCUGAUCCAGCAAUACCGCGUGAAUGAUGAAGGCCUUAGGGUUGUAAAGUUCUUUUAGUUGGAAAGAUAGUGACGGUACCAACAGAAAAAGCCCCGGCUAACUCCGUGCCAGCAGCCGCGGUAA